rnacentral:rRNA from 1 species
UACGUAGGGGGCAAGCGUUGUCCGGAAUCAUUGGGCGUAAAGAGCGCGUAGGCGGCCACCGCAAGUCGACUGUGAAAUCUCCGGGCUUAACCCGGAAAGGUCAGCCGAUACUGCGGGGCUAGAGUGCAGAAGGGGCAACUGGAAUUCUCGGUGUAGCGGUGAAAUGCGUAGAUAUCGAGAGGAACACCUGCGGCGAAGGCGGGUUGCUGGGCUGACACUGACGCUGAGGCGCGAAAGCUAGGGGAGCGAACGGG